UGGGGAAUUUUGGACAAUGGGCGAAAGCCUGAUCCAGCAAUGCCGCGUGUGUGAAGAAGGCCUUCGGGUUGUAAAGCACUUUUGUCCGGAAAGAAAUCCUUGGCUCUAAUACAGUCGGGGGAUGACGGUACCGGAAAAAAUAAGCACCGGCUAACUACGUGCCAGCAGCCGCGGUAAUACGUAGGGUGCAAGCGUUAAUCGGAAUUACUGGGCGUAAAGCGUGCGCAGGCGGUUUGCUAAGACCGAUGUGAAAUCCCCGGGCUCAACCUGGGAACUGCAUUGGUGACUGGCAGGCUAGAGUAUGGCAGAGGGGGGUAGAAUUCCACGUGUAGCAGUGAAAUGCGUAGAGAUGUGGAGGAAUACCGAUGGCGAAGGCAGCCCCCUGGGCCAAAUACUGACGCUCAUGCACGAAAGCGUGGGGAGCAAAACAGGAUUAGAUACCCUGGUAGUCCACGCCCUAAAACGAUGUCAACUAGUUGUUGGGGAUUCAUUUCCUUAGUAACAUAGCUAACGCGUGAAGUUGACCGCCUGGGGAGUACGGUCGCAAGA
rnacentral:rRNA from 1 species